rnacentral:rRNA from 1 species
UGGGGAAUAUUGCACAAUGGGGGAAACCCUGAUGCAGCGACGCCGCGUGGAGGAAGAAGGUCUUCGGAUUGUAAACUCCUGUUGUUGAGGAAGAAAAGGACGGUACUCAACAAGGAAGUGACGGCUAACUACGUGCCAGCAGCCGCGGUAAAACGUAGGUCACGAGCGUUGUCCGGAAUUACUGGGUGUAAAGGGAGCGCAGGCGGGUAGACAAGUUGGGAGUGAAAUGCAUGGGCUCAACCCAUGAACUGCUCUCAAAAACUGUAGAUCUUGAGUAGUGCAGAGGUAGGCGGAAUUCCCGGUGUAGCGGUGGAAUGCGUAGAUAUCGGGAGGAACACCAGUGGCGAAGGCGGCCUACUGGGCACCAACUGACGCUGAGGCUCGAAAGUGUGGGUAGCAAAC